rnacentral:lncRNA from 1 species
CAGUUAUGUAAUGGAAUUGAAUGAAGCAAGUGUCAGAUCUACAUCUCUACAAACACUCACUUUAUCAGUUCAGAGAAUAAAGAGAUGAAUUUAAUAAUGCCACUGGACACUUAUACUCUAUCGGAUCCUAAUAAUUUCUCACACUAAUGAAUUCUUCUAUCAACUUCAUGUUAAUCAAGAGGAGACAGAGCCAAGAAGUGAGUAAUUGCUUACUGAAUUGUGAAAGCUGGGAUGAUUUAACUACAGCCUCCCUAGAAUGUGACAGUCCACAGAAAUAUCUGAUUUCAAAGAGAUGCUUGCAUUCUGUACUGAUGCCAUCUAGAAUUGUAAAUGACCAGUGUCACACUGCUAAGUGGAGAAAGCGUGAAAGAAGAAUCCCAUCAGUACAUUCACGAUAGAGGAAAUAAGAAACAAUGAAAGCCACAAGUAAGUCCUGAGUUGAUCAACAGUAUUGCACUUCUCCAGGUUUACUCGAAGGCAGCAAAAUUGGCCCUACUCCCAACCCUGCAACAUGCACCAUUUCCAUAAACAAUCUACAGAGAUGGCUGAGAAAAAGAAAAAGGGGUACUCUCCUUUACCCCUUCUCCAAAGCCCGAUGAAGUAAAGAGUAGAAAUCAAGAGUGUCUACAAGAAUUGGGGAUUGGCAUUGAUUCUCCACUGUGUGAUUACUCAUGCUUUAUGGCAAUGUGCCUAUUUAAAGGGCAGGUAAUGACUUAGCAAGAAGGAAGGAGAGAGAAUGUCAAACUCACCUGAAGUCUUACCAAUUGGUGUGGCAGGUAUGUGGCUGUUUCCCAUGAGUGAAUACACUAUAAGAUUAUUAGGCUCUAGCUGUUUUGCUUGUAUCUAAUCCAGGUGACACCAGCAUUUAGAGACUAUGAGGUGUACUGGGAGCUGAGAUAAUGAAAGAGGUAGCAUUAAAGUAAUAUCCCCCAAAUUAUGGCAGAUCUAUGGUUAGAAGCCUAAGAAUAACAUGUGAAAACCUCAUGUCAGAGCCUGACAAUAUACCAGAAUUUGGAUACCUGCCAUACAGAAGGUACCAGCCGCCAAGGGGUAACUGUCAGAAAAGUGACAACAAUCACAAGUUGGGAAAAGGACUUGUCUCUUUGCCCCUCACUCCUCUCUGUGCCCAAUAAUUUGGAUGAGCUAUUGCCUACAGAAUGAAAGGAGAGUUGUAGGGCUAUGAAUCAAAUAUGAGACAAGUUUUAAAUGAGAAGAAAGUAACAUUUAAUAAGCAAAAAUGCCCAGAGAACUAUGGAAUCAUCCCAAGAAAGGAUUAAUAAACAAAAAUUGGAUUCAAUAGAAAACACAUCAGAGAAAAAA